GUGCUGAUCCCUCCGCCCCUUCGCGCCACGGUUACGUCAUCACGAGGUGCACGCUCUCUCAGCCAUGGCGGCCGCAGGAGCAGGCUCCUCCUCCAAGGAUCCUGAGGGAUCCGGGAAGCCACCAGGAAGAAAGAAGUGGAUUCAAGGAACCUGUCAGCAUAAUUAGCCUGAUUUUGGUUAACUAAUACUAGCAAGGCCUCGACCUCGCGUUUCACCGGSGCUGAAAUUCCAUCAGAAUGCCAAGACCUAGGGCAUAGAGCUCCAGUGUGGCAGAAUUUAGUCAUUGACGCCACUUGUCCAGGCUCCCGCUGACGUGAUCCAGAGGGAUUCAGGAAGCCACCAGGAAGGAGAAAGUGUGUGCGACACUCUUGUCACCAUAAUUGACCCAGUGCUGGUUAAUUAACACUGCCAAACCCAGCAAGGCGUGCGCUAGGUGUCACCURCCCAGGCCAGCGCUGUUACCCCACAGGGAUUUAUCUGUCCAGGAGGAGCUUGAGCAGUGUGGCAAAUUCCCUGUGGAAGAAUGAGGAUUCAGUGAUAACAAAAUCAGGGAAUUAAACAUGAACCCAUAGUUUUUCCAUGUUUUCAUUCCAAAGCUUUUUUU